GACGAACGCUGGCGGCGUGCCUAAUACAUGCAAGUCGAACGCAGUGGGGACGGGCGAGUAACACGUGGGUAACCUCCCAUCAGAGGGGAUAACACUUGGAAACAGGCGCUAAACCGAUCCUGAUGGAUGGACCCGCGGGUCAUUAGGCUGUUGGUGAGGUAACGGCUCACCAAGGCCACGAUGCCUAGCGGACCUGAGAGGAUGAUCGGCCACACUGGGACUUAGACACGGCCCAGACUCCGACGGGAGGAAGCAGUAGGGAAUCUUCGGCAAUGGACGAAAGUCUGACCGAGCAACGCCGCGUGAGUGAAGAAGGCUUUCGGAUCGUAAAGCUCUGUUGUUAGAGAAGCGGUAUCUAACCAGAAAGCCACGGCUAACUACGUGCCAGCAGCCGCGGUAAUAC
rnacentral:rRNA from 1 species